rnacentral:rRNA from 1 species
CGGAGAGGUAAGUGGAAUUCUUAGUGUAGCGGUGAAAUGCGUAGAUAUUAGGAGGAACACCAGUGGCGAAGGCGGCUUACUGGACGAUAACUGACGUUGAGGCUCGAAAGCGUGGGGAGCAAACAGGAUUAGAUACCCUGGUAGUACACCCCGUAAUCGAUGAAUAGUAGGUGUUGGGGGGCAAAGCCGUUCGGCGCCGUCGCAAACGCAGUAAGCAUUACACCUGGGGAGUACGUUCGCAAGAAUGAAACUCAAAGGAAUAGACGGGGAGCCGCACAACCGGUGGAGCAUGUGGUGUAAUUAGAAGCAACGCGAAGAACCUUACCAAGUCUUGACAUCCUCUUGACCGGCGUGUAACGGCGCCUUCCCUUCGGGGCAAGAGAGACAGGUGGUGCAUGGUGGUCGUCAGCUCGUGUCGUGAGAUGAUGGGUUAAGUCCCGCAACGAGCGCAACCCUUAUCCUUAGCAGCCAGCAGGUAGAGCUGGGCACUCUAGGGAGACUGCCAGGGAUAACCUGGAGGAAGGUGGGGAGGACGUCAAAUCAUCACGCCCCCUAUGAUUUGGGGUACACACGUGCUACAAUGGCGUAAGCAAAGGGAAGCAAGACAGUGAUGUGGAGCAAAUCCCAAAAAUAACGUCCCACUUCGGACUGUAGUCUGCACCCCGAGUACACGAAGCUGGAAUCGCUAGUAAUCGCGAAUCAGAAUGUCGCGGUGAAUACGUUCCCGGGUCUUGUACACACCGCCCAUGACACCACGGGAGUCACCAACGCCCGAAGUCAGUGACCCAACUCGCAAGAG